rnacentral:rRNA from 1 species
UCGAACGAGAAAGCUUCCUUCGGGAAGUGAGUACAGUGGCGAACGGGUGAGUAACGGGUGGGAAACCUGCCCAGGUGUGGGGGAUAACACUCUAACGGGGUGCUAAUACCGCAUACGCCGAGGAGUCGCAUGGCUCGUCGGUAAAGGGGGCCUCUGAUUCAAGCUCUCGCAUCUGGAUGGUCCCGCCUCCCAUUAGCUCGUUGGUGGGGUAACGGCCCACCAAGGCAACGAUGGGUAGCCGGCCUGAGAGGGUGUCCGGCCACACUGGGACUGAGAUACGGCCCAGACUCCUACGGGAGGCAGCAGUCGAGAAGCUUCGGCAAUGGGCGAAAGCCUGACCGAGCGACGCCGCGUGAGGGAUGAAGGCCCUACGGGUUGUAAACCUCUGUCAGGAGGGGAUAAAGCGUAUCGGCCAAUUACCCGAUGCGUCUGAAGGUACCUCCAAAGGAAGCUCCGGCUAACUCCGUGCCAGCAGCCGAGGUAAUACCGGAGGGAGCAAAACGUAGAACGGAUUAACUGGGUGUACAAGGGUGCGUAGGCGGCUACGUGUGUCAGAGGUGACAGCUCACGGGGUCAACCCGGGAACUGCCUAUGAAACUGCGUAGCUUGGUCCCGAGAGAGGAUGGUGGAAUUCCUGGUGUAACGGUGAAAUGUGCAGAUAUCAGGAAGUACACCCGGUGGCGAAGGCGGCCAUCUGGCUCGGUACUGACGCUGAGGCACGAAAGCUAGGGUAUCGAACGGGAUUAGAUACCCCGGUAGUCCUAGCCGUAAACGAUGUCCACUAGGUGUCGGAGGUCCUACCCCUUCGGUGCCGGAGCUAACGCAUUAAGUGGACCACCUGGGGAGUACGCUCGCAAGGGUGAAACUCAAAGGAAUUGACGGGGGCCCGCACAAGCGGUGGAGCAUGUGGUUUAAUUCGAUGCAACGCGAAGAACCUUACCUGGGCUUGACAUGCAGGGGACAGGUGUAGAGAUAUACCGUUCUUCGGACUCCUGUACAGGUGCUGCAUGGCUGUCGUCAGCCCGUGUCGCGAAAUGUUGGGUUAAGUCCCGCAACGAGCGCAACCCUUGUCCUUAGUCGCCAGCACGUCAUACGUGUUUACUCUAGGGAGACUGCCGCUGACAGACCGCGAGGAAGUUGGGGACGACGUCAAGUCAUCAUGGCCCUUACGUCCAGGGCUACACACGUGCUACAAUGGCACAUACAGAGGGCAGCGAACCCGCGAGGGGAAGCCAAUCCCAAAAAGUGUGCCUCAGUUCGGAUCGCAGUCUGCAACUCGACUGCGUGAAGUCGGAAUCGCUAGUAAUCGCGGAUCAGCAUGCCGCGGUGAAUCCGUUCCCGGGCCUUGUACACACCUCCCGUCAAGUCA